rnacentral:rRNA from 1 species
CUAAGAAUAUUCCGCAAUGGACGAAAGUCUGACGGAGCGACGCCGCGUGGAUGAAGAAGGCCGAAAGGUUGUAAAAUCCUUUUGUUGGGGAAGAAUAACCAUGGGAGGGAAUGCCCGUGGGAUGACAUGAACCGACGAAUAAGUCCCGGCUAACUACGUGCCAGCAGCCGCGGUAACACGUAGGGGACAAGCGUUAUUCGGAAUUACUGGGCGUAAAGGGCAUGUAGGCGGCUUUGUAAGCCUGGCGUGAAAGUCACCGGCUCAACCGGUGGAUUGCGUCGGGAACUGCAGGGCUUGAGUCAUGGAGAGGAAGGUAGAAUUCCUGGUGUAGGGGUGAAAUCUGUAGAGAUCAGGAAGAAUACCAGUGGCGAAGGCGACCUUCUGGCCAAUGACUGACGCUGAGGUGCGAAAGUGUGGGGAUCAAACA